rnacentral:rRNA from 1 species
UACGUAGGGGGCAAGCGUUGUCCGGAAUCAUUGGGCGUAAAGCGCGCGUAGGCGGUCCGGUAAGUCCGCUGUGAAAGUCGGGGGCUCAACCCUCGGAUGGCGGUGGAUACUGUCGGGCUUGAGUACGGAAGAGGCGAGUGGAAUUCCUGGUGUAGCGGUGAAAUGCGCAGAUAUCAGGAGGAACACCAAUUGCGAAGGCAGCUCGCUGGGACGUUACUGACGCUGAGACGCGAAAGCGUGGGGAGCAAACAGG